AAUGCCUAGGAAUCUGCCUGGCAGUGGGGGAUAACGUUCGGAAACGGACGCUAAUACCGCAUACGUCCUACGGGAGAAAGCAGGGGACCUUCGGGCCUUGCGCUAUCAGAUGAGCCUAGGUCGGAUUAGCUAGUUGGUGAGGUAAUGGCUCACCAAGGCGACGAUCCGUAACUGGUCUGAGAGGAUGAUCAGUCACACUGGAACUGAGACACGGUCCAGACUCCUACGGGAGGCAGCAGUGGGGAAUAUUGGACAAUGGGCGAAAGCCUGAUCCAGCCAUGCCGCGUGUGUGAAGAAGGUCUUCGGAUUGUAAAGCACUUUAAGUUGGGAGGAAGGGUUGUAGAUUAAUACUCUGCAAUUUUGACGUUACCGACAGAAUAAGCACCGGCUAACUCUGUGCCAGCAGCCGCGGUAAUACAGAGGGUGCAAGCGUUAAUCGGAAUUACUGGGCGUAAAGCGCGCGUAGGUGGUUUGUUAAGUUGGAUGUGAAAUCCCCGGGCUCAACCUGGGAACUGCAUUCAAAACUGACUGACUAGAGUAUGGUAGAGGGUGGUGGAAUUUCCUGUGUAGCGGUGAAAUGCGUAGAUAUAGGAAGG
rnacentral:rRNA from 1 species